GCUAAAUUUUAACUUUUUUCAGUUUGAGAUUGAAACUUUAUUAUAGGACAACAUAAAGUAUCAAGUCUUUACAAAUUAAAUUGUUUUUGUAUUGGAAGUGAAUUUGAUAAAUUAAAGAUGGUCCUAUUAAUAAACUCCAAUUUAUGCAAUGUACUUUAAACUUCAUUGACUAGUUACAUGUAGGCGUAAAACGUGUAGUGAUUAAGCCGGAUAUAUUAACCAUUGAAAUAUAUAGACCGCCGCCAGAGUUAUCACCUGUAUCUUGUUUCAUUAUCAACGGAAUUAAUAAUCCUGGAUAGAGCAAGAGAUAAAAAGUUACGAUGGACGAUACUCCAUCCAGAUCAUUGGACAAAGAACGAGGUUCAAGAUUGGUUAAAGUAUGUACUGGAGAAAAAUAAGAUAACUGGAAAUGAUAAGUACGCCAUACUGGAAGCUUUUGAUGACGUGGAUGGCCAUCAGUUAAUUAAAAUGUCUGCGGCUAAUUUUAAAGAUUUAGAUAUGGAAUAUGGUGAAUUACUUUUUAAAACAUUUAAAGGAUUACUCCCAAGCCAUGAUCAACAGUUCACCAAACCAUCUCCAGAUUCAUCUGAUGAGGGCGCAGAAACAAGUUCUAAAUCUGCAUCUGGAUCUAGUCAAAAAACUGGCAUAUAGAGAGAAUAGUGGCACCUAUUUUAGACAAUACUAUAUUUUUACUUUCUAUGUUAGUUUUUAAAGUCUAUUUUUAAAAAAUGUUUUAUUUUCAAAAGAUCAAAAUUAUUUACAACGUUAUUCAAU